rnacentral:lncRNA from 1 species
GAUGGUGAUGUUUCACUGGCAUCCGUCAGAGUUUCAGCUCUAGUUUAGCAGGUUCAUACCUGUUGGCCAACUGAAAAUAACGAAUUUGAGCAUUUAAAUGGGUAGUUUCCCUUUGCCUUGUUCACUUUUCUGACCUUAUGAUAGAUUCAUUACUUUGUAUUCUGCAGGAUUAUUCACAGCGAACAGUGAAUCCAGAAGUUGGUUGUUCCAUCCUGAGUUCCAGACAACGAAACUGAUGUGAGCCUCUCUCUUGAUAUCUCGAUGGAGUUAUUUCUGCAUAAUCGACCCUAUCAAAGGUAAUUACUACAUUACAUGCUGGAUGUUUCGGGAUGUCGAUAGUACUGAUUAGUUUCAUGUAUGUGGUGGCAUGCAUCAUCGUGCAGGUGUCUCUCACCCUCCCUCCGUCUUGAGUCUUGAGUCUUGACCAACCUGAACCCUGACGAGGAGGAAGCUACCUACCUCCUCCCGGCCUCUCCACCGCCAGUUUUUCUCCGGCCACCUCCCCGACUACAUCCUCCACUCCUCCCCUGCAUCUGCUCUGGCCACAUUUGGCACUGACGCCACACGUCCCAGGAUGCUCAUUACCCGUUGUCGGGCAAGGCCUGAGCAAUUGUCUGCUGAACUAGGGCCAGCAUCUAUGACUCUGAGUUACUCAGUGUCUUGUUGGAUCUAUCACAUUGGUCCUCCGUCCUCUGACCAUCACGGCAAAUCGAUCGACAGGAACAGCAUCUGCAAAACUGGCACGUGAGAGAUACAGUACGAAGAUGUUUCUCGAUGAUGAUGAGCAGCACAUUAAUUCUUCCCUUAUUGUAAACCUUACUUCAAUUUAAAGCUGGACUUUAACCUUUUCUCGUAGAGCUAAGGAUGGACUUUAUCCAGUCCAGUGUAGUUCAGCUCCGGGAGGCAAGCGAAGCAACAACCUGAGUAAGAGUUGUCGCGUUGUUGCUGCUUCAGUCCGGACAAAUUAGCACUAGCUUGUUAACCCUGACGAAACUGGAGCACUGCUUCUUGUUCAGAAUUCAGAUAUGCAGUGAUUAGUUUGAAGCAGCACACUUUUAG